ACAGGAUUAGAUACCCUGGUAGUCCACGCCGUAAACGAUGUCGACUUGGAGGCUGUUCCCCUGAGGAGUGGCUUCCGGAGCUAACGCGUUAAGUCGACCGCCUGGGGAGUACGGCCGCAAGGUUAAAACUCAAAUGAAUUGACGGGGGCCCGCACAAGCGGUGGAGCAUGUGGUUUAAUUCGAUGCAACGCGAAGAACCUUACCUACUCUUGACAUCCAGAGAACUUUCCAGAGAUGGAUUGGUGCCUUCGGGAACUCUGAGACAGGUGCUGCAUGGCUGUCGUCAGCUCGUGUUGUGAAAUGUUGGGUUAAGUCCCGCAACGAGCGCAACCCUUAUCCUUUGUUGCCAGCGAUUCGGUCGGGAACUCAAAGGAGACUGCCGGUGAUAAACCGGAGGAAGGUGGGGAUGACGUCAAGUCAUCAUGGCCCUUACGAGUAGGGCUACACACGUGCUACAAUGGCGCAUACAAAGAGAAGCGACCUCGCGAGAGCAAGCGGACCUCAUAAAGUGCGUCGUAGUCCGGAUCGGAGUCUGCAACUCGACUCCGUGAAGUCGGAAUCGCUAGUAAUCGUGGAUCAGAAUGCCACGGUGAAUACGUUCCCGGGCCUUGUACACACCGCCCGUCACACCAUGGGAGUGGGUUGCAAAAGAAGUAGGUAGCUUAACCUUCGGGAGGGCGCUUACCACUUUGUGAUUCAUGACUGGGGUG
rnacentral:rRNA from 1 species